UUGAACGCUGGCGGCAUGCUUUACACAUGCAAGUCGAACGGCAGCACGAAAGAGCUUGCUCUUUUGGUGGCGAGUGGCGAACGGGUGAGUAAUACAUUGGAACGUACCGAGUAAUGGGGGAUAACUGUCCGAAAGGAUGGCUAAUACCGCAUACGCUCUGAGGAGGAAAGCGGGGGACCUUCGGGCCUCGCGUUAUUCGAGCGGCCAAUGUCUGAUUAGCUAGUUGGUGGGGUAAAGGCCUACCAAGGCGACGAUCAGUAGUGGGUCUGAGAGGAUGAUCCGCCACACUGGGACUGAGACACGGCCCAGACUCCUACGGGAGGCAGCAGUGGGGAAUUUUGGACAAUGGGCGAAAGCCUGAUCCA
rnacentral:rRNA from 1 species